GACGAACGCUGGCGGCGUGCUUAACACAUGCAAGUCGUACGGUAAGGCCCUUUCGGGGGUACACGCGUGGCUAACGGGUGAGUAACAAGUGAGUAACCUGCCCACACCUGUGUGAGGACGCACUGAAACUAAUGCUGAUACUUGAUAUGUGCUCCUUCUUCAUGGUGGGGGUUGGAAAGAUCCGGCGGUUGUGGGUGGACUCGCGGCCUGUCAGCUUGUUGGUGGGGUGGUGGCUUACCAAGGCGGUGACGGGUAGCGGGCCUGGGGGGGUGACGGGCCGAAUUGGGAUUGAGAUAGGGCCCGGCCUCCAACGGGGGGCAGCAGUGGGGAAUUUGGAAAAAGGGGCCGAAGCCGGAGGAGGCAAGGCCGCGUGCGGGAUGACGGCCUUCGGGUUGUAAACCGCUUUAGCAUGGGACGAAGCGUGAGUGACGGUAAUGGGUAAAGAAGCACCGGCUAACUACGUG
rnacentral:rRNA from 1 species